rnacentral:rRNA from 1 species
UAGGGAAUCUUCGGCAAUGGACGGAAGUCUGACCGAGCAACGCCGCGUGAGUGAAGAAGGUUUUCGGAUCGUAAAGCUCUGUUGUUAGAGAAGAACGUUGGUAGGAGUGGAAAAUCUACCAAGUGACGGUAACUAACCAGAAAGGGACGGCUAACUACGUGCCAGCAGCCGCGGUAAUACGUAGGUCCCGAGCGUUGUCCGGAUUUAUUGGGCGUAAAGCGAGCGCAGGCGGUUCUUUAAGUCUGAAGUUAAAGGCAGUGGCUUAACCAUUGUACUCGUUGGAAACUGGAGGACUUGAGUGCAGAAGGGGAGAGUGGAAUUCCAUGUGUAGCGGUCAAAUGCGUAGAUAUAUGGAGGAACACCGGUGGCGAAAGCGGCUCUCUGGUCUGUAACUGACGCUGAGGCUCGAAAGCGUGGGGAGCAAACAGG